AUGGCCAUGUGACAACAGAGGCAGAGACUGGAGUCCUGCGUCUUCAAGGACUGGCACAAAUGACAUCUACCAGUCUGGGAAUUCUGACGUUCAGAUGUUCAUCCAUCCAUCUUCGGAAAUCUCCAAUGUCACAGAUUUUGAAGGAAACAGACAGCACAACAACAACAACCUCUCUCGGUCCUCACCCAAAUCUUUCUUCUGAAAUUGGAAGCUGAUGGCCACCAAACACAUUUUUAAAAGACCAGCGCAGUUUGAAGAACAGCUCAGAAAGUCUGCCUUCGCUGAAAACUCAUUCCCUGGGAGUUGCAAUGAGCAGACAGGCCAC